UAAUACAGAGGAGGCUAGCGUUGUUCGGAAUCACUGGGCUUAAAGCGCGUGUAGGUGGCCUAUCAAGUAUCUUGUGAAAUCCCCGGGCUCAACUCGGGAAUUGCUGGGUAUACUGAUGGGCUUGAGGUAGGUAGGGGUGCCUGGAACUCUAGGUGGAGCGGUGAAAUGCGUAGAGAUCUAGAGGAACGCCCGUGGCGAAAGCGGGGCACUGGGCCUGUCCUGACACUAAGACGCGAAAGCGUGGGGAGCAAACGGGAUUAGAUACCCCGGUAGUCCACGCCGUAAACGAUGCGCACAAGAUUCAUGGUCCUCUGACGGCCCGUGGGUCGCAACGAAAAUGUUAAGUGCGCCGCCUGGGAAGUACGGCCGCAAGGCUA
rnacentral:rRNA from 1 species